CUAGACCUGGGCAGUUAACUAAAAGACCAUCAUGAAGCUAAUUGAACAAAUAUAAUUUAAUCCGUGGAUGAUGAAGUAGGGAAAUCCUAUGAAGAAUCUGAAUAGAUUCUCCAAAAUAACACCAACAAUAACAAUAUUCUCCAUUCUUCAAUCACAAUGCAACAGAAAGAUGCUAUUGAAGAAUUGUUGAGAAGAUUCCAUGAAGAUUAAACCACAAUCAUUCUCUUCUUCAUUGUCACUCUAAUGAUUCAAUCAGUCUGUAUUUAGGCAUUUUGGAAGGGAACAUUUCCAAAGAAUGGAAAUGGUGCUUUUAAAAAAAGGCAACUGAGAAGACAAGCUACUAUUGACAUAUAGGGCUGUUUGCUCAUCUCUAUAAAUUCUUUAUGAGAAUAGUUUAUGCAUGCAUAGAGGUUAUCCUUGAAAAGAACUGUAACAGAGCAGGCCAGCUUUUGCAGAUAAUUUUCUAAAGUGUCCCACAUUUUCUUGGUCACAAAAGUUAGAGAUAUAGAGAAUUUAAUAGCAUCCUGCUGUGUCCUUUGUUUAUUAAUUUUUAAAAAUCAUUUGACUCUGUAGAAAAAAAUGAUCUCCUUAAACAAGGUAUCUUCCAUAUAAAUAAUUUUUGUUUUGCAAGACCAUACAAUAGAUGUGUCUAAAGAGAUAAUUUUGUUUAAUAGUCCACUGAGUAUUGAUGUCAAGGAUAUAAAGUGGGUGAUGUAUGCUUGCCUGAGGUGUUCACUAGUGUCAUGGAAGAGGAUUAAAAAAUGUGUAUUACAUUUUCUACUCUAGAAUUCACACAGAUUAGGAUUCAGUUGAUAGAAGUAUUUUCAAUUCUAUAAUUUAACUCAGCUGGUAAAUUAUCUCUCUUGCCUGGCUGCCCCUUCCCAAGUUGCCUGGGAAAUUCCAAUUUGAACAAAACUCAGUUUUUUUCUACAUCCAACAGAAGCUAAGGAGUAUUCAUUGAAAUUCAUUGAAAUAAUAUUUAAUUGGAACUGAACUGACUAAAAAUAAAAUGAAAAAAAACUCUUCA
rnacentral:lncRNA from 1 species